GACAGAGGGUGCAAACGUUGUUCGGAAUUACUGGGCGUAAAGCGAGUGUAGGCGGUCUGAAAAGUCGGGUGUGAAAGCCCUGGGCUCAACCCAGGAAGUGCACUCGAAACUGCCAGGCUAGAGUAUCGGAGAGGUUGGUGGAAUUCUCGGUGUAGAGGUGAAAUUCGUAGAUAUCGAGAGGAACACCGGCGGCGAAGGCGGCCAACUGGACGAAUACUGACGCUGAGACUCGAAAGCGUGGGGAGCAAACAGG
rnacentral:rRNA from 1 species